rnacentral:rRNA from 1 species
CUGCUGCCUCCCGUAGGAGUCUGGACCGUGUCUCAGUUCCAGUGUGGGGGGCCUUCCUCUCAGAACCCCUACGCAUCGUCGCCACGGUGGGCCGUUACCCCGCCGUCAAGCUAAUGCGCCGCAUGCCCAGCCGCCACCGGAUUCCUCCUUUCGCCCGGACCGGAUGCCCGGUCCGGGCGGCAUGGGGUAUUAGGCCGGGUUUCCCCGGGUUAUCCCCCUGUGGCGGGCAGGUUCCAUACGUGUUACUCACCCAUGCGCCGGUCGCCGGCAGGUGCAGG